GACAGCAAAUUGGGCAAAGUAGAACCACAAAAAACAUAUAAUUUAGAAACAACAAGAUGAGUUAAUUUAUAGUUCUUGCUAUGGAAAGAGGUGGCGGCGAUGGUGGGUCUAGUAGAUGUCCACGGCGACCUCGGGAACUUCCCUAGUAUUUGCUAAAAAUCGUGUCUUUCUCUCUUUAAUUCCAACUAUCCAAACUUGUGAUUGGCUAUCCCUUGACGGGAAUACACAAGCACGGAUUGCCAAUUUACCAAAUUUCAUUACUGAAACUGGUUUUACUUGCAGGUAUUUGGGAGAGAACGCGCAACUAAAGGUUAUUAAGAAUGCAGGGCAUUCUCUCAGUGUAGAGAAGCCUAAGGAGAUGUACAAGAAUAUAAAAUGCUUCCUUAUGGAUCCCACUACUCCAACGGUGCAAAAAAAAAAAAAAAAAAAAACCAAUGUAAUGGUAGCUAAGGGGAUUAGCAGAGAAAUGGAAGAUAUUUAUUUUUCAGCAUUGUGAAUAUGCUUGUGUUUCUAUUGUUUAUUAUAUGCUGUUAUCAGCCAUGCAGUAUUUUUAUGUUAAAAUAAUUGUUGUGAAUUGUUGUAUUA